GACGAACGCUGACGGUGUGCUUUAGACAUGCAAGUCGAACGAGAAAGCCCUUCGGGGUGAGUAAAGUGGCGAACGGGUGAGUAACACGUGGGCAACCUGCCCCUCGCGGGGGGACAACCGGAGGAAACUCCGGCUAAUACCCCGUACGCUUACGGGAUCGCAUGAUCCCAUAAGGAAAGGUAGCUUCGGCCAACCGGCGAGGGAUGGGCCCGCGGUACAUUAGCUAGUUGGUGGGGUAACGGCCCACCAAGGCGACGAUGAUAGCUGGUCUGAGAGGAUGAUCAGCCACACUGGGACUGAGACACGGCCCAGACUCCUACGGGAGGCAGCAGUCGGGAAUCUUGCGCAAUGGGCGAAAGCCUGACGCAGCAACACCGUGUGAGUGACGAA
rnacentral:rRNA from 1 species